UUGGAUUUUGGACCCAUUAUGCAAUUAAGACAACAGAUGUGCAAGGAUCUCUUUAAUGCAACAGACAGAACACAGACAUGCAGUAACUGCCUGAACCCAGUGAGCACUGCAAACAAGGUUUGGGGAUCACCAAAGAAAUGGCAGAAAAAACAAAACAGACCCUCCACAAGAUGAAGGAAAAUGCCAACUCUACAUAUGAUGUUAAAGAGACCCUAUGCAACUUUCUGCAGGAGACGAUCGCUCUUUGUUUACAUCUGGAAGUCUGAGACGAAGAACCACGCUUGCAAUUUAUAUAUUUAAAUAUAGCCUAUACAUGUAUAAAUAUACACGCUAAAGCUGUCGGGGAAGCUCUGCAGAGAAAAUGCAAGCAUAAAACGAGCGAAAACGAACAACGAAACUGAAACCAGAGAUGAAAUCGCCAGUCCUGCAUAGUUCCUCUUUAACUCAUCAUUUAGUUUAGAAACACACACAUUUGGGGCACAAGCCUUGAGCUUUGUCAUUGAGUUUUUCAUUGAAAAGGUAAACAACUUGCUUUAGAUUUUAUCAUUAAAAUCUAAUGAUAGCUUAGCUUCUUUUACCCUGUUCUUGGGUUUGCUUGUCAAAGAAA